AGGUUGUGAUGUGGGCAUUUCCUUAUCAAGUCUGUGAAUCGCUCCCAUACCUCAAAUAGUGAUUCAGUGUCCAAUUGUGCAUAAGCUGUAAUCUCCUGAUGCAACUU